GAUGAACGCUGGCGGCGUGCCUAAUACAUGCAAGUCGAGCGAAUGGAUUAAGAGCUCGCUCUUAUGAAGUUAGCGGCGGACGGGUGAGUAACACGUGGGUAACCUGCCCAUAAGACUGGGAUAACUCCGGGAAACCGGGGCUAAUACCGGAUAAUAUUUUGAACCGCAUGGUUCGAAAUUGAAAGGCGGCUUCGGCUGUCACUUAUGGAUGGACCCGCGUCGCAUUAGCUAGUUGGUGAGGUAACGGCUCACCAAGGCAACGAUGCGUAGCCGACCUGAGAGGGUGAGCGGCCACACUGGGACUGAGACACGGCCCAGACUCCUACGGGAGGCAGCAGUAGGGAAUCUUCCGCAAUGGACGAAAGUCUGACGGAGCAACGCCGCGUGAGUGAUGAAGGCUUUCGGGUCGUAAAACUCUGUUGUUAGGGAAGAACAAGUGCUAGUUGAAUAAGCUGGCACCUUGACGGUACCUAACCAGAAAGCCACGGCUAACUACGUGCCAGCCGCCGCAGUAA
rnacentral:rRNA from 1 species